rnacentral:rRNA from 1 species
GAUGAACGCUAGCGGCAGGCCUAAUACAUGCAAGUCGAGGGAGAAAUCUUCGGAUGGAGACCGGCGCACGGGUGCGUAACGCGUACACAAUCUGCCUACAAGAGGGGAAUACCCCCGGGAAACUGGGAACAAUGCCCCAUGGUAUAAUUGAACCGCAUGGUUUAAUUAUUAAAGCUCCGGCGCUUGUAGAUGAGUGUGCGUCCCAUUAGAUAGUUGGUGAGGUAACGGCUCACCAAGUCAGCGAUGGGUAGGGGGCGUGAGAGCGUGGCCCCCCACACGGGUACUGAGACACGGACCCGACUCCUACGGGAGGCAGCAGUAAGGAAUAUUGGGCAAUGGAGGCAACUCUGACCCAGCCAUGCCGCGUGCAGGAUGACGGCCCUACGGGUUGUAAACUGCUUUUACUAAGGAAGAAUAGCGGAUAUUUAUAUUCGUGUGACGGUACUUAGUGAAUAAGCACCGGCUAACUCCG